CAUUAGCUCAGCUGGUUAGAGCGCACCCCUGAUAAGGGUGAGGUCGCUGGUUCAAGUCCAGCAUGGC
rnacentral:ncRNA from 16 species